CUGUGAGAAAGGAGGGAGGGGGUGUUCCUGACCUUCAGGUGAGUUAUUUAUUGGCUAAGGACUGCAGUAUUUUUUUUUUUUUCUUUUUGGAAAGAAAAUAAAAAUCAAGUUGGUGGUGUUUUGAAGUCAUGUUAAUAGAGAAGAUCUGAAUUAAUGGUUGAUAAGAGAAGUCGCCCAUCUUUCAGCAACUCAGCUACUCCGUCCUCUCCAGUACCUAUAAAGCUUUCCACUGAAAUGGAGCGGAGGGGGCUCCCUGAUUUCACAGACAGGGAGAAAAAGAAACAUCAAAUUCAUGAGUGGUGCAUAGCUGCAUAGCUCCCUCAGCAACUUGCCUGCCUCUUGGUAAUAGCAAUCUCUUCAUUCUUUCUUGUGAAUCCCAUGAAGGAUCCUGUCUUAGUCCUCUCCGUCUCCGCACAGUGCCUCACUGGGCACAUUGCAAGCCAAGCACUUAACGUUUUUGCUAAAUGAAUGAAUGGACAUUGAAUAAUGAACUAAGCUGUUACUUUUCUUCAGGGAUUCAGCUUCCUCAUGUAUAAAAUUAGGGACCGAUUCUAAAAUUCUGUAUGGUUCAAUAAUAUUAGGGUUCUAUAAAACUAGAAGAUGUAUCACCGCUUACUACUUAGUAAAAGCAAUAAUGAAAACCCUACUAUUUAACUCUCAUCAGGAAAUAAUGAGCUCUUCCACAUAGAAAGGAGAAGGAACAUAAAGUAGAAAGCAAGAUGAAGAUACAAUUACAAUUGAAUUUGCUUGCUUUCUUAGAAUACUAACUUCUCUCCUUUUCCCUCUCACUACCAAAAAUAAAGCCCCUAUCGCCCCAGAGAAUUCUUUAUUCUUCUCAAUGUAACCCCCCUCAUGGUGCUGUUUCAAUAAGUUGUAGAAAAGUAGUUCUUGGGUCCAGUAAAUGCCUUUUACACAGUCCUAGAAUUAGUGCCAAUUUGGCAUGAGAGCUCAGUUCUUCAGAUUCUUAAUUUACUAUGUCCACACAGUGCUAAAGGGAGUGUUAUGCAAAUACUGAAAUAAUCCAUGGAAAGUCAGAAAGAUUCCGUGACUCUAGCCUAGGUUCUUAGGAUGCCCAUUCUGGUCUCCACUACCUUAACUUGGGCUUCCUCUACGCUAAUCUUAUUUAUGGACUUCCUGAAAUUACUCUACUGUAUGUAAGUUAUAUCACUGAAGGCCACCAGCUAUCAAGAAUUCUAGCCACAGUGCAGAGAAAAGGAUGCAACUUACUUCAGGUAAGAUAUGUGUGUAAAUUCAUCCCAAGCUGAAGAGAUUGGAUCCCCCCGAACCUCUAUUCCACCUCAAAUGUCAACAGAGUACGGACUCCUUGAGCGAAUGAGUAACUGGUAUUCUGCUACCAGUUACUGGUAGCAAUGAUAACUCCAACCUGCUAGCCAAGACAAAGACAGAAUUUGCAGUUGUAUUCACAGCCAUGUUGUCAGCGUUAUGGACGAGACUCCAGAAAGAAAUAAUAGAGAAUCAGUCUGGUUAAACUCAUCUGAACUUUGCUCUCAAACAUGAAAAUUGAAGGAAUAUUGACGCUUGAGCAAACCCUACAAAUGCCACCCUAAUAAACAUGCACACUCAUUUGGCCUCAUUUAUUCAACUUGAUCUGCUGCCUUCGUGAAAUGUUAACAACACUGGCAAUAACUAGUUGAGGCUUAUUUUAUGCUCAGAAUAAUGUCGGGCACCUGAAUUGCAUAUCAAGUUCUUGAAAUCAGGAUGUGAAGUCUUCAGCCACAGCAUUACUGGGGACCAUAAAUAAGAGAAAUACAGGGAUGAAUGCAUAAUUCAAAAGCAACAAGCUUAUUCUUCUGAAAUAAAAAUUCAUUGAAGAGUUUCUAGGUUCUAAGAAUAGCUUUAAGUUUACAGCUCAUUAAGGCUUCCAGAUGCUCUCUUCCUAUUGAGUUUGUAUACACCAUUUCAGGGGUCUGUCUACAUGCAAGGCACAGAUGCAAAAUGAAAUAAAGUAUUGAUAAGUAUAAAUGUAGCACAAAAUGUACAAAAAUGUAUACAUGAGAGGGAGCAAGUUUAGGCAUGCUAACACCAUUUAAAAUCAUUCCUAUUCAUCAGAAUUCCAUAUUCGCCUUUUUUCUCUUUGUAUUCUUAUAUAAAGAAUAGCCUUAAAGGUGGACCAGUACAUAGUAUGUAAGUUUUAUUGUAUUAAAACAUAUCCUUAUUGAUAUUUGUACUUUCUCCAUUUCUAGUAAAUUUUAGAAAUAAGUCUCAGCACUUUUAAACAGAAUAAUUUUAAUAAAAUUGUAAGGGUUAUUCUAGUGCUCAAUUCUUUAUUAAAUGUAAAUGCUCGAUGAUUCUAUUCUUCUCAAGUAAAAAUAAAAAAUCCAUUGAGAAUGUUUUCUAUUUAAGGAGUUUAUGUAUUAUAAAUAUGGAAUGGUAAAAUAUGAAUGCUAAAAUACAAAGAAUGGACGUUGUUAAUCUGUAAUAUUAAAUUCAACUCUCAACCACGUGACCACUAUUGAAUUAUAUGCCAAGACACUUAACAUUUUAAUCACUUUGCCCCCAAAAGACAAAAUAAAUGCCAGCAAGCCUCUGCAUCCCCUGUAAAGCUAUAAGUAAUCCUAAUCAGCUAUUAUGCUUCACCCCAGAAGCUAUCAACAAAAAUUAAUUGAGGAAGAAAUAAUAGAUAGUAAGACACAUUCAGAAGUCGGGCGUAUUGACUUGUUAAUGCUAUCUUCUCUUUAGGCAAAUGUGUGAUGGUUAACUUUAUAAACUAAUAAACAUACAGCAAUAGCUACUUUAAGGAAAAACAUUAGCUUUGUUUCCUAAUUUAAUUCCUGUUUUCCAGCGUGUUUUUUUCCCCCUUUCCAACUGUCUCACUGGUUGCAGAUUUCAACAGUGAGGGUACAACCUGAAAAUGUCAUUCCACUAUAGUCCACAGCUUCCAGAAUGCUCUGGGAAUCAUUAAGAACAUCAUCUGGAAUAUCCUGUCCCUCAAAAUAAAUUUGUUUAAUAGGUCAAAGCCAUUUGAAAGAAAGCCUUGGCUACUAACACUCUCCUAUGCAAGAUGUUUAUUAGGGAUUUGUCUGAUAUCCAAGGCUUACUCAUUUGUAAAUGAUACAAAUCUGAGGAUACCAGAGUUUCUCAAACUGGCUUAUUCGUGAACAGUUCUCUAAGUUUUACAUUUCUGUGUCGGUAAAAAUCUUAAAAAGAAUAAAACUACCAGAUGCACACCA